UCUAGCAUGUGCGCGAGUCAUUGGGACUUUUUUUCAGGAAAGCCCAGAGGCGCAAUGAAAGUGAAGAUCGGCCUUUUCGGCUUGAUCGAGGGAGGAUGGCUCGUUGUUAUUUUUUUAUAAUGACGGGCUCGCACUCCCGGGGCGUCUCGCGCUCAUUUCGAGCGGAGGCGCACCCAGAGCGUACACGCUGGGACCCGAAAGAUGGUGAACUAUGCCUGGUCAGGACGAAGUCAGGGGAAACCCUGAUGGAGGUCCGUAGCGAUUCUGACGUGCAAAUCGAUCGUCGGAACUGGGUAUAGGGGCGAAAGACUAAUCGAACCAUC
rnacentral:rRNA from 2 species